AUGUGAAGCUCUCCUGAUUGAUAGGCUCAGCUAUCGUAUUUAGUGAGGCAUAUGGAAGUAUCUAGAUUAGUGGUGAUGUGGGCCUAAACCACAGCACAGAUCAUGUGAUCCUAAUAUGUAGAUGCUCGUCAAGAAAACCCAGUGAACCUCACAGUAUUCACUGAUGGAAGCUUGCUCUUGACCUGGUAUCCCGUUAAGGUCUUUGCUACUAAACGGUACAAGAUGAUGUGACGUUUUCUUAUUAGAGACAUUCUCAUUUUCAGGUUCCCAUCAAGAGCUCAUGGUGAACUUCCUAAUGGUCUUUACCAGCGACCUCCUUGUCUUGCAGUAAGUGGUGAUGUGCCUUAAGCAUCCCCACCGACCUUCUGUCUUGAGAUGUCUAGGUAAGUGACGAUAAUAUCACUAACACUUGUGUGACCACGGUUUUGUUUGGUUUUUGUGUGUGUGUGUGUGUAAAAAUAGUACCUCAGACAAGGCUAGUAAGCAUUAUUAGCUCUCACAGGCUUAAGAGUUUAGGGGCACCUAGCCCAUCCGUGGAGCAUGUGACUCUUGAUCAUGGGUUGUGAGUUCAAGCCCCACCGUGGGCCUAGAGCUUACUUAAAAAUAAAUAAAUACGUAAGAGCUUAUGUUUAAUGUGUGUUGAAUAUAAAUAGUGACCGAGAUCUAUGCAGGUAAGUUAUCCAGGCUUCAUACCCCAGUAUUGACCAUAAGAUUUUUCCAGGUGGUCAGUCAAGAGGUAAUGGUGUCUCUAAUAUCCAUGUAGACCAUGAAGUUCUGCCAGGAUCCAGGUAAUGUUGAUGGUUCCCCCAAUGAGGAAAUUGACCAAAAUUCUUUACAGGCCCCCUGGCAGAACACGUUGUUGCCUUACCCACAUUUUUGACACCUCUUUUUUCAGGUUCCUGUCAAGAAAUCACUGUGAACGUAAUAACGGUCAUGAACAAAAUCUUGUUAGUAACCAGUGAAGGGAUAAAGAGUGUUACUUACCGUUAAGACCAUCUAAUCUUCACAUUAUCGAAGCAAGUGAGGAUGAGGUCUCUAACAUUUGUGUUCUCAUCUUUUUGCAGAUAAGCCAUCAAGGUUUUGCUAGUAAACAGGUAUGAGAUGAUGUGAGAUUGACGUAGACAUUAUUUUCAGAGCCCUUUGUGACUAAUGAUAUUGUUCAGGCUCUUACAGUAACCUAGUGUUAGGCACGUAUGCAGUUAAGAAAUUAAGUUGUCCCUGACAAUCAUAAUAUGCCUGAGAAUUUCUUAUUGUUUAGGGAUAAUAUGUUUUGGACUGAUAGUGGGACUUUCAGACAUCCAGAUAAUUCAUCAUAAUGUCCAUCGCUGUGUUACUUACCGUGGGAUUAUUGCGGAUAAUCCUUCAAGAGAGGAAGGUGGCGCUUACUAGGGGCUGACCUCAGAGUUUUGCAAGUUUUCAGGUAUUACUGAUGGGUCCUGAAAUAUGAUACAAAUGACCAAGGGAAUUGGCCGUUGUCCAUCAGGAUAAACUUGUACCAAACACGUUUUUCGCAGUGUGUUUGUCAGGUUCCUGUCGAGCAUCACGACGAACCUAGCGAUGGUCAGUAAUGGGGAACUUUCUGCAAGCAGGCAGAUAAGAGUAUGUGGGCCUAAACCUCAGGCCAUCUGGUCUCCAGAUAGCUAGGUAAGUGAUGACGUUUAUAACGUUUCUCAAUCCCGUUAUGUUCCUGCAGGUGUUGAGGUAAGAGACGAUGUAGCCCUUACCAAUAAUAAAAACCAUGAGUUCUCACCUUUAGAUUUAGAGAAAAUCUAUAGCCCUGUUUGUGUCGAAGGAUGGUUCUUGUACAGGUGAUUGUCAUGGAGUUCACACCCCAGUAGGACCCACAGAAUGUGGCAGAUGUCCAGCUGAUGUGCUCCAUAGUAAUGGGAGUGAAAAGGUUAUGUGCAGGUGUUCUAGUAGCGUAAUUUGCAUUUCAAACCCAUUGUUGCUUGUGCUUUUACAGGUUCUUGUCAAGAGAACACAGUGAACCUUCCACCAGUUUGGAACGCAUCCUUACUAAUAACCAGGUAAGUCAUACAGUGGGUCUUACUACACUGCAGACCAAUAUAAUCCCCAAUAUCUAGGUAAGUGAGGGUGGUGUCCCUAACACUGUGUUACUGUGUUCAUUUGCAGAUACCCUUUUAAGGUCUUUGCUUGCCCACAGGUAUGCAAUGAUGUGACAUUAACUCAAUAGAGACGUUCUUAUUUUUAGAUACCUGCAUAUUAAUGUGUUUCAGGUUCUAGUAUUCACAUUGUUUUUGGCAUGUAUUCUGUUAAGAAAUCAGUGUAUUGCUAAAAUACUAGUAAGAAUGAGAGUUUUAUCCUUGUUCAGGGAUAUUGUAUUUUUUAAAACGGGUAGCGAUAGAAGGAUAUGCAGGUAUUCGGGUAAUUGAGAAUAUCGUCCGUCACAGUAUUAUUGACCGUGGCUUUUUUGUAGGUAUCCCUGCGGAGAGGAACCAGUCUCUUCCUAGCUUUGAGCUUGGAGUUCUGCAAGUACGCCGAUUCACUUCAGGACAUUACGGUGAGUCUGUCAGUAGUAGUUCAUGUGAGACCCUGGUGGUAUGAACAUAAGUGAUGAUGUGGGCCCCAGCACAGACCAUCUGAUUUGCAUAUGCAUGGGCAAGUGAUUAAGUGUUCUAACACUUCUUGUUACCGUGGGUUUUUUUUUUUUUUUUGGCAAGUAUUCGGGGAAAAAAAAUGAUGGUUUUACCAACUGUAGAAAACACAAGUUUUCACUUUUAUAUUUCAGGAAGGUUUAUGUUGAACACUGUGAGGCGUUACAUACAUACAAGUAUUUAUCUUGUGUUCCCUCCGUAGUACUAUUUAUAUGAUAAUUUAGAAGCGUCCGAACACUGACAGUUUUCUGACGUUGUUGCUAACUUUUAAUUACAAGUACUCAGAGUUGGUUUGUUCCGUAAUGAUGAAGUGAACAAUCUUUUUUGCAGGUGUCAUGGUAGAAAAAGUUGUUUCCAUUAACUCUGAUUUCGUAACGUGUUUUCCAGAUCCUUGUCAAGACCUCAGGAUGAACUUAGCAGCAGUCAUUAAUAGGGGCGGAUAUCCUGUUGAUACGCAGGUAAGGCCACCCGAUCUCCAGAUACCUAGGUAAGGGAUAACAGUGUCUCUAAGAGUUGUUACCAUGAUUUCUUUGCAAGUAUUCGGGUAGGAAUUGAUAGUCCUUUCUAAUUCUAGAACGUGUGAGUUGUUAGCGCUUGUAUUUUAGAAAAGAUGUCUGUUUAGCCCUGUGAGUGUUAAGGGAUCCCUUUGAGUGUUAAGGGAUAUUUAUCAUGAUGCUUCCGACCAUAGCAAUGACCGUGGAAAUUUUGCAGGUGUCCUGUAAGGAAAUAUUGUCUUCCCUGACAACAAUGGUCUUGAUCUUGGAGUACUGCAAGCAUGCAGGUAGAGUUGACAUUCUCAUAAUAGCGACAGUGACCAAGGUGCCUUAGAGGUGUUCUGCUUACAGCAGGUCACAUCCCUUUACACGUAUGUCAUAAUGUAUUUGUCAGGUUCCUUCAAGAUCCUGAAGCACUUAACAGUGGUCGGUAAUGGGGGACAUUUCUUGUGUCCAGGUUCCGGUCAAGAAAUCAUGGUAUGCCUCAUAAUGACCAUUAACAGAACUUUGCUUGCAGCCAGGUUCAGGUUAAGACAUCAUGGGGAGUAUAUCCAUCGUGGUAAAUGAGGCACAUAGCAGGUAUGGAGGUAAGUGAUGAUGUGGGCCUGAAUCACAGCACAGAUCAUCUGAUUCUAUAUGCAGGUAAGGUAUUAUAGCCCUAACACUUCUUGUUACUAUGAUUUUGUUACAGGUGUUCAGGUAAGAGAUAGUCCUUACCAAAUCUAGUGACCUUG